AUAAUUUUGAUUUUCAGUUUUAUUGGAAAUAACCUUUGAAUUUUGGAUUUAUCGCACCAUAUCCGGAGAAUAUGGCCUGAAAUAUUAUCAAUUCCUGCAAACGGCGUGGCCAGAAGUGAAGCUUUAAGUGGCUAUCUAUCCGCAGAGAAACAUUCAGAGUUUAAUAUAUUGGCGGUCGCCGUAGACGAAUGUGUUGGUGCGUGACUACCAUUCGGGAUUUUAGCGUCCGCUACUCAGGAGGCAAUUUCUGCCACGAGUGCAUUUCUGCCAUGAAAAAGCUCCUCAUAAAAACCAUUCGCCAUUCGGAGUCGACUUAAAACUGUAGGUCCCUCCAUUUGUGGAAACACCCACACCACAAGUAGAAGGAGGAGCUCGGCCAAAUACCUAAAAAGUGUCAUAAAAACAAAAUUUAAAACCCCAAUUACGAUCCUAUUUAAAAACUACAGUAUCAGCAACAAGUGCCUUGAUAUGUUGAGGCCAAGUGGCCAGCUAAGUGCUGUUAGUUGAUAUGUGUGAGCGGCUUUGACACUCCAGUUGCAGCACUGGAUAAUCUGAUGAUAAGUUUUAUAUAAGGUUUUCUUUUUUUUAAUUAAAUUAAAUAAUCGUGCAUAGAUUUGCAAUAAAUAUUCAAUAGCAAAAGUUUUGCAAUUGUUUAGUGGAAGAUAACAUAAAUUGUUAUUGUUUUUUCUUGUACCUGGUAGAUACUUACAUAUGUACAUACAUCAAUAUUUCGUGAACAAUUUCGUGAAGCCAGCUUCAGGCCGCACCGAUCAUGUGUUGAACACGUAAAAAGCCUUCGGAUAAUAGUGGAGGAAAGCAUGGCAUAUCGGUCACCUCUCUAUCUAAUAUUUACUUCAUGGUGUUCAGCGAUGAGGCCCAUUCUUGGCUUAAUGGCUACGUUAAUAAUCAAAAGUGCCAUAUUUGGGCUGAAGAGCCAACAAAGCGAUUCAAGUAGAGCCAUUACAUCCAUUGAAAACAACCGUUGGUGCGGCCUUUGGGCUGGAGGAAUCAUAUUUCUUCAAAGACGAGACUGGCGCGAAUGUAACAGUGAAUGCCAAACGUUAUCUCGCCUUGAUAAACGGCUAUUUGAUGCCGAAAACUGAAGCCCUGAAACAACAUUUGUUUUUAACUAGACGGCGAUACUUGCCAUGGGCCGUACCAUGAAAUAAUGGAUUUACUGCAUCGUCGUUUCGGUGAGGAAUUUAUCUCUCGUAUCGGCCCAGUGGAUUGCACACACAUAUCACACAUUUCGAAUUUUAUUUUUGGAGAUAUGUGGAGUCUAAAUGCUUUGCGGAUAAAACAGCUGCGAUUGAGGUAUUGGAAGCCUACAUUACUAAAGUUAUUCACGAUAUACCGACCGAAAUCCUCCAGGGAGCAAUUCAAAAUCAGUGUUUACAGAUGGCCGAGUUACGACGCACUUGCGACCAAGAUUUGAAAGGAGCUAUCUUUAAAACCUAAAUGUCAUGAAUGGUUCUACACAAAAAAAAUAAAGAUCGGCCAAACAAUUUGAAUUUUCAUCCUUAUAUUUCAGUUUAAAUCCGAUACCUCUACAUGUAUCACCCUUUACAUGCUCGAAUUUUUUUUAUAUAGAAGAAAAAGCCUAACACCGUCUACAAAAAAAAUGCCAAAAAUAAGGGGUACACUUUGUCAUACUAAAAUUAAAUGAGCCAUAGGAGUGCAUACCCAGAAAAAUUUGUGUAGACUCCCAAAGCGGGGAAACAGCUCUAGAAGAAAUUUGGCAACGAAAUUUGUUUUUUCUCUUUCGUAGGACAGAAACUUUAUAUUUUGUAUGACAAAUUGAGAUUUUACUUAAACUACAACUUGCAAAUUGGUUUUUUGAUAUAAUUUUUUUUUUUGUGUGGAGUAUCUGACUACAGGCUGGUCUCUUAGAAGUGUUGGAAAUAUCCUUUCUGGAAGAACUUUUUUCCUUUUGCUGCGUCAUUUAACUGAUUUAAUAAGACAGGCAUAAGUAAAUUAGCUAUAUGAGGAAGUGGUCGGGUUGCAGAAAGCACAGUCGCAUAUUUCACGGCAUAUUUUUACGUCAAAUUCAUUACAAAAUUAUUCACCCUAUCAGCAGAUUUAUAAUUUUCGCAAAUCGUACAUCAAUAAUUUUUAAUACUUAUAAUCUAUAGAUAC